rnacentral:tRNA from 1 species
AAUGAAGUGCCUGAAACUAAAGGAUUAUCUUGAUAGGAUAAAUUAUGUGUAUUACACCUUCAUUG